rnacentral:rRNA from 1 species
UCAAGUCAGCAUGGCCUUUAUAUCCAGGGCUACACACACGCUACAAUGGCGCGUACAAUGGGUCGCGAACCUGCGAAGGGGAGCUAAUCCUAAAAAGCGCGUCUCAGUUCAGAUCGUAGGCUGCAACCCGCCUGCGUGAAGUUGGAGUUGCUAGUAACCGCGCGUCAGCAGAGUGCGGUGAAUACGUUCCCGGUCCUUGUACACACCGCCCGUCACGUCACUCAAGUCG